AUGUCAGUUUCGUUAUUACAACCUUAUUUUUUUAUGUCAAAGACAAAAAGCUACGCGCAAAUUCUCAUUGGAUCUCGGUUGUUCUUAACAGCGAUGGCUAUUCAUUUAAGUCUUCGGGUAGCACCACCAGAUCUUCAACAAGGUGGAAAUUCUCGUAUUUCGUAUGUACAUGUUCCUGCGGCUCGGAUGAGUAUAGUUAUUUAUAUCGCAACAGCUAUAAACAGUUCCUUGUUCCCAUUAACAAAACAUCCCCUUUUUCUUCGCUCUUCCGGAACCGGUACAGAAAUUGGUGCUUUUUCUACUUUGUUUACGUUAGUGACUGGGGGGUUUUGGGGAAGGCCUAUGUGGGGUACCUUUCGGGUGUGGGAUGCUCGUUUAACUUCUGUAUUCAUCUUGUUCCUUAUUUACCUGGGUGCACUGCGUUUUCAAAAGCUUCCUGUCGAACCGGCUCCUAUUUCAAUCCGUGCUGGACCAAUCGAUAUACCAAUAAUAAAGUCUCCAGUCAACUGGUGGAAUACAUCGCAUCAACCUGGGAGCAUUAGCCGAUCUGGUACAUCAAUACAUGUUCCUAUGCCCAUUCCAAUCUUGUCUAACUUUGCUAACUUUCCCUUCUCUACCCGUAUCUUGUUCGUUCUGGAAACACGUCUUCCUAUUCCAUCUUUUCCCGAAUCUCCCUUAACGGAAGAAAUAGAAGCUCGAGAAGGAAUACCACUAAAAACCUAG
rnacentral:rRNA from 1 species